rfam:Sarcophilus harrisii ctg7180002426827, whole genome shotgun sequence.
CACCAGGCUUUUUUGAAAGCCUCCAAAUGGUCAGAUUAGAAUUUUA